AUGAUGAUGAUACAUCGGAACAUUCUAUGGUUAUAGGCGAAGUUUCUCCGCUGCUGCUGUUACUCCCCUGGUCAAGGGAUGAGGUCCAUGAGUUCGUCAGGCACUUGGUUACCACAUACCCUCAGUAGGACAGCAGAGAGUCCCUCCUCCUGUUACAGAACAAACCAGAAAGUGAAUCAGACAAUGAUUCGUAUGGAACAAAAACAAAUCAUGAAAGAUAACCCAAGGUGUAAAACCUAUGGGCUACCCACAAAUCACAACUAGUUCUGUACAUGUACCUGGUAUUCAAGUCUCGCCAUGAUGAAUCUUAGUUGCCGAGUCAAUGCCAUGAUGAAGUUCUUAUGUUGCCAUUCAGUCUUAUACUGCUGGAGGACGACGUGGAAGGCAUGCAAACCUAGCCUGGAAAAACAAAAUACUGUUUGGUGUCAAAAGAUUUCAGAAUCAAAUCAAGGAACACAAAUUUCAUAUUCAGUUUGCUUACGAAGUACAAUGUAGUUAAACAUUAUAUUUUUGAUGCAGAGGUUAAACAAAACUUAAACAAUGAUAAGUAAGAUCUUAAAAUUUGUGACAGACACUUAUAGUUGAAUAAAAAUAUAUCAGGAAUUUAAUGCAUAGAAACACAAAGCAACAUACCACAGGACAACAUCUUUUGGUAUGCUGAAAACAGCCGGUAUAGAACCCUGUAAGUAUAAAAGAUGGUCUUGUAUCAUGAUGGUAUUACAGUUGUUUAUCAUAAAAACAACAAACUUGACAGGACAAUAUAUGAAGUCAAAAAGUAUAUUUAAAGUACAUUAUAUUGCAAGAGAACUAAUUUUGUUAACAAAAGAUGAAGGGCAUUAACAAUUAGAUUGUAAGCUUUAUAAAUCCUAACCUCAAUCCCACACCCUAUCCCUCACUCCGUGAGAGGAGGGGAAUACAUGCAUUGUGAUACCCUCGGGUCAUGAAGUUCACAUAUUUGGUAAAACUCUGAAACCCUUCUACCCCAUUUUUGAUUAUCCAUCAAAUAUACAGUGCCUGUCCUCACAGUUAUAUUGUGUAAACUUGCUGAAAUAUACAUUAUUUA